UUUUAAAAAAUUAUUAAUUUAUUAAUAAUAAAAAAUUUAUAAAUUUAUUAAAAAUUUUAUUAUUAUCAAAUUUAUAAAUUUAUUAUAAUAAAUUAUUUUUAUUAAUUGUUCCCGCCCCUAUUUUUAUUUUCAAAAUUUAAAAUUUAAAAUUUAACAUUUAAAAUUUUAUAUUUUAUAUUUUUCAAAUUUAAAUUUGAUCUUAAAUUUGAAGUUUGAAAUUUUAAAUUUUAAAUUUUAAAUUUUGAGAUUUUAAAUUUUAAAAUUUAAUUUGAAAUUUAAAAGUUAAAAUUUUAAAUUU
rnacentral:lncRNA from 1 species